GAGUGAAGAAGAAAUUGCUAGGGGCCAAACGCGAGGCCUAUGAAGAUGGAUCAAAAGUGUGUCAAACCACAUGUUGUAGUGCUGCAGCUCCUCAAUAGGAGAUGUUAAGCAUGGCAGGAAGGGAGAAGUCUCUCCUCGGGGGGCUGGGGUCCUCCGGUGUACAGCGGUGGAUCACACGCUGCAGAGGAAGAUCUGAAUCCUGUGCUGAUUGUCUGUCAAGCUGCAGAGCGUCUAGCAAGAUGUGUCAGAAUGACUUCAAACGGAGCGCUGCGUUAAUCUUUAUACAGGGAGUGUAAAUGUGUGAUAAAGUAUCCUACUCACUGAACACGGACCCGUUCUCGCAAUCAAUUGAAUUUCGGAGUAGG
ensembl:lncRNA